ensembl:snRNA U6 U6 spliceosomal RNA
GAGCUUUCUUUGGCAGCACGUAUGCUAACAUCAGAAAGAUACAGAGAAGAUUAGCAUGGCCCCUGUGCAAGGAUGACAUGCAAAUUUGUGAAGUGUUCCAUAUUUUU